CUCUUCCUAGGCGAGAUCUAGAACAUUAGUGAAGUAACUAGAGCUCCCACAAGUGCAGCUGCUUUCAAGUCAGCAGUCAACACUCUCCGUUGCUAGCUGUUUUAAUUUCACUAGCCUUCAUCUCACACCAUCUCAUCUUCAUGGCUUCAAGGAAUUCUGGGACAAGACACACUUACUACUUCAUUACUUCAUCUAUCGUGCCAUUCUUGCAGAAUCUGGUGAUAGAAGGACUUUAUCAUAUAAAAAGACUCAGGAACCCCACAGCCCCAUGAUUACUGCCAUCAGCACACCCAGGCAUAGUGGGAAAAGUGCCCAUAUAGAAGACUGAAGAGUUCUUUGUGGCGUUGGGAUGGCAACUCGGUAGUAAAAUGCUUGCCUCACAGCACAAGAGUGUUAAUUCAGUCCUCAAACCCCAAUAAAAAUUCUGG